UUUUUAGCAUCACAAACAUCUUCAGAUGCAUAAAAAAACUCAUACUGGAGAAAAACCCUAUGAAUGUAAUCAAUGCAGUAAAGCCUUUGUUUAUCACAGUAGUCUUCAGAUGCAUAAAAAAAUACAUACUGGAGAGAAACCCUAUGAAUGUAACCAAUGUGGUAAAGCCUUUGCCCAGCAUGGUAAACUUCAAAGGCAUGAAAGAACACAUACUGGAGAAAAAUUAUACAAUUGUAAUCAGUGUGAUAAAGUCUUUUCAAAAUACAUUAGUCUUCAAAUACAUAAAAGAAAACAUAGUGGAGAGAAAUCUUAUGAAUGUAAUCAAUGUGGUAAAGCCUUUGUUCAUCACAGUAUUCUUCGAAGACAUGAAAGAA